rnacentral:rRNA from 1 species
GUGGGGAAUUUUGGACAAUGGGCGAAAGCCUGAUCCAGCAAUGCCGCGUGUGUGAAGAAGGCCUUCGGGUUGUAAAGCACUUUUGUCCGGAAAGAAAUCCUUUGGGUUAAUACCUCGGAGGGAUGACGGUACCGGAAGAAUAAGGACCGGCUAACUACGUGCCAGCAGCCGCGGUAAUACGUAGGGUCCGAGCGUUAAUCGGAAUUACUGGGCGUAAAGCGUGCGCAGGCGGUUUUGUAAGACAGAUGUGAAAUCCCCGGGCUUAACCUGGGAAUUGCAUUUGUGACUGCAAGGCUAGAGUGUGUCAGAGGGGGGUAGAAUUCCACGUGUAGCAGUGAAAUGCGUAGAGAUGUGGAGGAAUACCGAUGGCGAAGGCAGCCCCCUGGGAUAACACUGACGCUCAUGCACGAAAGCGUGGGGAGCAAACAGGAUUAGAUACCCUGGUAGUCC